GUUUUUCUUUUGUAUUGCUGCAGAGCUUUUGUCAAGUCAGGGAGUUGAAACAUCCUCCAGCAGGGUCGGACAGGAGGUACAGGCAGCCCAAAAAGGGCUUCUCAGAGAGGCACGUGGGAGAGGCAUAAAGAGGGAACAAAGAAUGGGAGAAGCUGUGAGUCUGGUGUGUCCCAGCUUGUGCCCUUUCCUCCUGAGCCUGGUGGUGCAGAGGCUGUGGGGGUGGUCUUGGAGCUGAGGCCUCCAGGUCCUGCUGUGGGUGUCGAUGGCCUCAGAGCUGCCUGAGUUGGGAGCAUGGCAGGUCCACUUGGCAUCCACAGCUCCCAUCCCAAAUAGGUGCGCUUGAACACUUCCCAGCCACUGUUGAGAGAGGGCCAGUGGAGACACGGUGUGCAGUAUUUACCAUGAUUGCAGUGACUGCUCUGGUAGCUGUGUGUUCCUCUGCUUGUUAAUCCCCACUGUCCUCACUGUUGAUUUAAAUACCUUUAUGUGACAUUUGCAGACUAAUGGAGCAUGGGGACCCGGAAGGAACCUCUGAAAGGUUGUCUGAUGGGAUCCACAUAAAUCAGAGCCUAUUCAUCCUCGCACAUGAUCCCCCUGCCUGCUCAGACGUGGCUUCUGCAGCAAAAAAUAGAGAUAAGUAGCAAAAGCUGCUCAAGGAGAAGCCUCAUUGUACGUGUUACGACAGUCAGGAGAGGGAUUAAUCCUGGCAGUGUUCCCCUUGUAUUUGUUAAGGCGGGUGAUGCACAGUGACAGUGGCAGCUGCUCCUUUCCACAGCCCUGCUGAGGAAACCUUACCUGCGUGUUCCUUCAGAGGUGCAUAAUGCACCAUUCCUAGCUCACGGGGGUCAGCAAACCCACAGGUGACAAAGGCUCCUGUGGCUCCACACAUCAACGUAGCACCUUAUUAGCUCACAUUUUCAAGAGCCUUCUCUGGAGGAGUGUAAAGGCUGUGAGUGUCGUGGUCUCUCUGAGAGCAGCACAGACACACCCCCUUCCAUGUUCAUGGAUAGACAGCCUUUCCUGGGGCACGUAGCCCUUUCUCCAUACUUUUGUUUUCAUAAUCUGCAGAGAAAGAGCAAGGCUUUUUUUCCUGCCUCGCUGAGUGUGUUGCUUUAGUGCUUGUGUGUAGCUUAGCUAAGGCAAAAGAGAGUUGUACCAUUCAGAACAGCACUCGAAUCGUUGGGCUACUUGAGAAAAAAGUGUUUCUCACUCACUCCUUUUGAACCCACUGUAUUUAACAUAGGAGUGCUAAACAUGAGUGGAAUGAGUGGAAGAGAAUAAAGAGCUUUGAUUUCUGAAAGCUGGUGAUGAACAAUGGUGGUGAUGGGAACUCUGGGCUAAUUGUAUCUAUGCUCAGGAUUUUUUUUUCCUUCCUUUCUUUUUUUUUUUUUUUCCCUUUCUUUCUUUCAUCCCAUAAUUGAACAAGUUGCUAAAAGAACUUUAGGAUUAAAUAUCGAACAAAAUGUUUCCCGAGUAACUGUUGCAGCUAAUGCACCAGAGAGUUGUCCAUAUUUUUCCUAUGCUUGUGGUGUUUAGGGAAUGCUCUUGAUAGGGAUUUGACUCUCCUACCUGUAAACACACAGCUGUGAGCAACAGCUGGAAGGAUGGAGUGGCACUUCACCUGCUGGUAACCCUUUCUGGAUUGCACAGAUCCCCUCUGGGAGGAGAGAGUGAAGCUGUUUAGUUCUCUCUGCAGAGGGGAUUCCCAGGGAACAGAUAGUCCUACAGAAUUCACUACCUUAAGCUGACUUACCAUCAACAAAGGCUAAGAGAGGAAAAUAAACAUAGUAAGUAUCUAAAGAGACAACCAUGCUGUGAUGGAAAAAGCCUUUAAAAGUAGUUACAUAAAAAGCAUGAGCUUCUAUGCAGAGUUAGGGUCCCUGAAUGGAGUAAUUAAAAACGAGCAUGCAUUUGCUGUUAGGAAUCUAUCAGAAGUAAAACCAAAAUGUAAUCAGAUUCAGCUUUUUAGGUGGAAGCUUUUUUCACUUCACAGAACAAAAAGAAGGUGAAUAACAAGCACCACCAAUUCCCCUCACCAUCAUCAAUAUUGAAGUACUUUGCUGAAGCAAAAGGUGAAGAAGGAAUUUGGACAUUUAAAGACUUGAAAUUUACUGAAUUUUCUCCCCAGCUUGAUUGUUGGUGAAGUUCAACACCAGGUUUGCAGGAUUUGACUUGGAAAUGCUUCCUUUUGACUUUGAUGCCUGGUUUCUUGGAGAGCCCAUCAACAGCGUGGAUUUAAGAAUCUGCCUUGGCCUUUUGCCCCUUGAGACCUCAGUGAUGUAAAUGUGAGCAGUGCUCUGUGCAUUAAUUCCUGCUCGUGUCCUGGAGCCUAGAAGCACAAUUUCCCGUAAACAUUUCCAAGUUUGGAACAAAAACAGUGAUGACCUGUGCCAUGACUUGAGUUCAGCAAGAGCUGCCUGCUUGUGCUACGUGUAUUCAGGUAGGACUGGCUGGCUCAGUUAUCCUGCUUUAUGUGACUUCUGAAGAGAAGACUACAGCCAGUCUCAUCUGCAAAAAGGAGCUCAAAUCCUGGAUUCAUUCCAGCCCUGUAUUGACUGCAGUGGGGGUAUUAUCAGUAUAUAAAUGGGGACAAGAGGUUUUCACUCAGAUUAUACAUGUGCAGAAAACCCCAUACAUUAAGCUAGAACAUCCUUUUCCUGGAAAUAUGGCACAGGAGAAGGGAGAGAACUGAUGUAGGUAUGAGCCCCACACCUGCAUUUUAGAAAGGCACAUUCUGCCUUUCCUUCC